GAUGGCCCCAUCUUGUUGUACUGCGAUAGCAUGAUGCCAUUGCUCAAGUGAAGGAACCAAAGUCAUAUCAACGGAUCAAGCACAUUCUACAUCGCUACCAUCUGAUCCAGGAGAUCGUAGAUCGAGGUGACAUCGAGUUUCAGAAGAUCGAUGGAAAGAAAAACUUGACCAACCUAUUUAUUAAAGCCCUUGAUGUCAAGGAGUUCGAAGAUUAUA
rnacentral:lncRNA from 1 species